rnacentral:rRNA from 1 species
AUUGAACGCUGGCGGCAGGCCUAACACAUGCAAGUCGCACGAGUGGCGGACGGGUGAGUAAUGUCUGGGAAACUGCCCGAUGGAGGGGGAUAACUACUGGAAACGGUAGCUAAUACCGCAUACCAUCGGAUGUGCCUAGGUCGGAUUAGCUAGUUGGUGGGGUAAAGGCUCACCUAGGCGAAGAUCCCUAGCUGGUCUGAGAGGAUGACCAGCAGCACUGGAACUGAGACAAGGUCCAGACUCCUACGGGAGGCAGCAGUGGGGAAUAUUGCACAAUGGGCGCAAGCCUGAUGCAGCCAUGCCGCGUGUAUGAAGAAGGCCUUCGGGUUGUAAAGUACUUUCAGCGGGGAGGCGUUACCCGCAGAAGAAGCACCGGCUAACUCCGUGCCAGCCGCCGCGGUAAUAC